AUGGAGUUAAUGACGAGAUCAUAUUUUCAGGAGGUGUACACUAAAGACCCGACUUUAACCCCAGAUGUUGUGCUAGAGUGUAUUGAGGAGAAAGUUACUGCAGAGAUGAAUGAUGUUUUAUGUGCUCCGUUCACUGAGAAGGAGAUUUCGGAUGCUCUCUUUCAGAUUGGCCCCAUUAAGGCCCCAGGUACGGAUGGUUUUCCUGCUCAUUUUUUUCAACGUAAUUGGGCGGUGGUGAAAGGAGAAAUUAUUGCAGCAGUAUUGGAGUUUUUUGCUUCUGGGGUUAUGCCAGACGGAGCUAAUGACACAGCUAUUGUGUUGAUUCCAAAAGUCCAAUUUCCAAAGGAGCUCAAGGAUUUUAGACCGAUAAGCUUGUGUAAUGUGAUCUACAAAAUAGUUUCUAAAUGCAUGGUAAACCGACUACGUCCCAUUCUGUCGGAGCUCAUCUCGGAAAAUCAGAGCACGUUUAUUCUAGGGAGACUUACUACUGAUAAUUCUAUUAUAGCUUUCGAGUGUAUUGAUCAUAUUCAGUCUGUUAGUGGCAGUUCACCGGCAUGUUGUGCGUAUAAAUUGGAUCUUUCUAAGGCAUAUGACCGGGUGGACUGGGUAUUCUUGGAGAAGGCCCUACGCAAGUGGGGUUUUUCUCAUGUGUGGAUUUAUUGGAUCAUGGCGUGUGUUUCCUCUGUGAAGUAUUCGGUGAAACUGAAUGGGAAAUUAUUGGAGUCUUUCAUACCCUCUCGUGGCCUCAGACAAGGUGAUCUCUUGUCCCCGUUUUUAUUUCUCUUUGUUGCUGAUGCCCUAUCUUGUUUGGUCAACAAAGCUAUUAUGGAGGAGGGGCUGGAAGGUGUUAAAAUUUGUCAUCGUGCAUCGAUGAUAUCUCACUUAUUAUUUGCGGAUGAUUCACUAUUUUUUUGAGCCUCGGAACAGCAAGCAACACUUGUGAAAGGUUUGUUGAGCACUUAUGCGCUGGCUAUGGGACAACUUAUAAACCCGUCAAAGUGUUCCAUCCUUUUCUCUAGUAACUGCACUGAGGUGGUAUCUGGGGAAGUAAAGAGUAUUUUGGAGAUUACAAAUGAAGUGUUUGAACCCAAAUAUUUGGGUUUGCCGGUACCUGAGGGGAGAAUGCAUAAAGGGAGGUUUGAAACCACCUAGGAAAGAUUGAGGAAGAGACUAGUGGACUGGAGCGAGCAAUUCAUGUCUUCAGGUAACAAAGAGAUUUUAAUCAAAUCUGUAGCCCAGGCUAUUCCCACAUAUAUUAUGAGCGUGUUUCGCUUACCUGCUUUGGUAUGUGACGAUCUGACAAGGAUGAUGAGGCAGUACUGGUGGGGAGUUGAGAGUGGCAAGAGAAAAAUGGCAUGGCUGAGCUGGGAUAAGCUGAGACUCCCUAAAAGCAAGGGGGUAUGGGAUUCAGGGAUAUGCGUGCUUUUAAUCAAGCGUCAUUGGCAAAACAAGCGUGGCGAUUGA
rnacentral:rRNA from 1 species